AACGUAGGACGCAAGCGUUAUCCGGAGUUACUGGGCGUAAAGCGCGGGCAGGCGGCUCGAAACGUCUGAUGUGAAAUCUCCCCGCUCAACGGGGAGAGGCCAUUGGAAACGGUCGGGCUGGAGGGCAGUAGAGGCAGGCGGAAUUCCGGGUGGAGUGGUGAAAUGCGUAGAGAUCCGGAGGAACACCAGAGGCGAAGGCGGCCUGCUGGGCUGCACCUGACGCUGAACCGCGAAAGCCAGGGGAGCGAACGGG
rnacentral:rRNA from 1 species